UACGUAGGGUGCAAGCGUUGUCCGGAAUUAUUGGGCGUAAAGAGCUUGUAGGCGGUUUGUCGCGUCUGCUGUGAAAUUUCGGGGCUCAACCCCGAACUUGCAGUGGGUACGGGCAGACUAGAGUGUGGUAGGGGAGACUGGAAGUUCCUGGUGUAGCGGUGAAAUGCGCAGAUAAUCAGGAGGAACACCGAUGGCGAAGGCAGGUCGCUGGGACGGUACUGACGCUGAGACGCGAAAGCGUGGGGAGCAAACAGG
rnacentral:rRNA from 1 species